rnacentral:misc_RNA from 1 species
AUAGCACUGCAAAUCCUCUCACUAAUCAUCAAAAACCCACAAACAAAUUCACUCACAAACACAUACGCACGUACCUCAUUAACCAAAAACACAUAUAAAAGAGUAAAAAAUGAAGGCUCACUCAUCUCCUGCAACGAGUGAUCCUAGAACAUCCUCUGGUGUAAGGGUUAACAGGGGUUCUAGCCUUGAAGCAAUUAUGAGUGUAGUAAGAUCUCCCAGAACGUGGAGGGCAAGGAAUCCUAUUAGCAGCGAGAGCACCAUACGAGAUAUAGUAAUGUACUCUUCUCCAGAACAAUGAUCUACGCCCACCCAUCUCCUCAUUACCAUCCAAAUCUACCAACCCAUCACCAUCCUCCUCCAAAUCGUNNNNNGGCCUUUCUAGCGCGCCCGCCAUUAUCUUCAAGCCAGUUUCUUCCACCUGGGCAUUGAUUAUUGGGGUGAGAACAAGAAAGAUAGUGAAGAAGAAGAGAGAGAGAGUAGUAGCAGCAGCCAUGGAGAACAGAGUGGAAGGU